ACUCCUGGCCUCAUGUGAUCCGCCCAUCUCAGCCUCCCAAAGUGCUGGGGUUACAGGCAUGAGCCACUGUGCCAGCCUAUUUCAGUAACUUAAUGUUUUUACAGGCAUGUAUUACCUAUAAAAUUAAUAAAGCCAGUGAGGUAUUUCUUUUUUGAACUAAAGCAAAGCUAAUAAUAAGUUAUAGAGAAGUUAGAGAAGAAAUCUAUUAAGUGAUACUUUCUUUGUAUACUGUUGGGCUGAGUACCCUUGAUUCUUGGUGGUGAACAAGUUAUCAGAAAUUUCUUGGCCAGGAGCCGUGGCUCACACCUGUAGUCCCAGCACUUUGGGAGUCCAAGGUGGGUGGAUCACUUGAGGUCAGAAUUUCUAGAUCAGCCUGGCCAGCAUGGUGAAACCCUGUCUCUAUUAAAAAUACAGAAAUUAGCCAGGCAUGGUGACGUGCGCCUGUAAUUCCAGCUACCUGGGAGGCUGAGGCAGCAAAAUCACUUGAACCUGGCAGGCGGAGUUCGCAGUGAGCUGGGAUCGCGUCGCUGCACUCCAGCCUGGAUGACAGAGCAAGACUCCAUCUCAAAGAAAAAAUAAAAAAGAAAUUUAUUUACUUGUGUGAAUUUUUACAAUACAGAUGCUUCUCGACUUAAAUGGGGCUACAUCCCAAUAAACUCAUAAGUUGCAAAUACUGUAAAUCAAAAAUGCAUUGAAUACACCUAAUGUAUGGAACACCAUAGUUUAGCCUAUCCUACUUUAAAUGUGUUCCGAACACUUAGAUUAGCCUGUAGUUGGGCAGCAUUACCUACUAUAAAGUGUAUUUUCUAAUAAAAUGUUGAAUAUCUCAUGUAACUCAUUGAAUACUGAAAGUGAAAAACAAUGUAUGGGUACUCAAAAUAUGGUUUCUCUACUGAAUGUGAAUCACUUUGACACCAUCAUAAAGUUGAAAAAUUCCAAGUCAAACCAUUGUAAGUCAGGGGCUAUCAGUAUUCAGUGGUAAAUGCUGGCUCUAACUAUUCUUCCAAGUCAGUGGUUGACUGCUGUUUAUUCUAUAAAGGGUUACAAUUUAUAGAUUCUCUCACUUGUAGAAUGAGAGAUUCAGAAUUAAUAGCAGACAGAGUCCCUACCUUGAUGGAGCUUUCAUUUAAGUGUGAAAGUCAGGUGACCUAACAAGGCCUUGGCAUAAGUUUAGGAUUUGGAUUGUUAUGGGAGCUUGGGUAGGGACAUGUCAUAGGUAAGGCAACAGCAGGGGUAGAGAUAAGCUUGACAUAUGUCAAAAAUCAUGAAGACAUCAGUAAUCCUUGAAGUUGGCUGAAAGGUAUAGAGUUGAGAAAGUAGUUAAAAAAAAAAAAGUCAGGCUGAGUCUAGGUAAGGAUGUGUUUCUCUGAGGUCAGAUUUGUUCCUGUACCAUAAAGGGACUAUUUAGAAUCUUAAAGCUGGAGCAAUUUAAAACGUUAAGUUUUCAGAUUGACGUUUUUUGAGGUAUAGUUAAUAACCUGAAUGUUCUGAUUCUAGUCUUGGUAGUCAAUAAGAGUUGACCAGAUGAAUUUCAUAGCUUUGUAGAGGAUGAAAUAUUUCAAGGCUGAUUUGCACAAAUGUUUACAUAGAUCAUGUAUCUUUCAUAAGUAAUAUGUUUGUAUUAUUACAAGGCUGUAAAAAUUUAAGCAGGUUGUUAAUAGCACAGGGGGUAACAGAUUAAUAAAAUUAAU